UUGUGUGUGGCUCAGGGGUAGAAUGCUUGCCUAACCCACAUGAGGCACUGGGUUCAAUCCUCAGUACCACAUAAA
rnacentral:tRNA from 1 species